UACGGAGGGUGCAAGCGUUAUCCGGAUUCACUGGGUUUAAAGGGUGUGUAGGCGGGCAAUUAAGUCAGUGGUGAAAUCUCCGGGCUCAACCUGGAAACUGCCAUUGAUACUAUUUGUCUUGAAUAUUGUUGAGGUGGGCGGAAUAUGUCAUGUAGCGGUGAAAUGCUUAGAUAUGACAUAGAACACCGAUUGCGAAGGCAGCUCACUAAACAAUGAUUGACGCUGAGGCACGAAAGCGUGGGGAUCAAACAGG
rnacentral:rRNA from 1 species